rnacentral:rRNA from 1 species
UAAUACGUAGGGGGCAAGCGUUAUCCGGAAUUAUUGGGCGUAAAGAGUGCGUAGGUGGUUUUGUAAGCGUAGGGUGAAAGGCAGUAGCUCAACUAUUGUUAGCCCUGCGAACUGUGAGACUUGAGUGCAGGAGAGGAAAGUGGAAUUCCUAGUGUAGCGGUGAAAUGCGUAGAUAUUAGGAGGAACACCAGUGGCGAAGGCGACUUUCUGGACUGUAACUGACACUGAGGCACGAAAGCGUGGGUAGCAAACAGG